GAAUGAAGUUUAUCGGGCGUUGAGGGGGCUAUGAUGACUAAAUGUGAUUUGCCAGCUAAGUCAUAUUCUAUGACUUUGGAAGUGCAAAGGUUUUGUUUUGAGUUGAUUCUUACUUGAUCUAGAUCUUGGUGGGUCCUUAUGAACGGACUAAAGAUGGUUUUCAAGAUCCCAUAAGCAAGAACUGACUCAUUUUAUUUCAAAUGCUUUUUAUUGCAUAUUGUUGCUAUGCACAGUUAGAUAUCCAGCUAUUACAUUGUGAAUGAAGUUUAUCGGCCGUUGAGGGGGCUAUGAUGACUAAACGUGAUUUGCCAGCUCAUAUUCUGUGACUUUGGAAGUGCAAAGGUUCUGUUUUGAGUUGAUUCUUACUUGAUCUAGAUCUUGGUGGGUCCUUAUGAACGGACUAAAGAUGGUUUUCAAGAUCCCAUGAGCAGGGUUGAUGGGCCCGAGUUUAUUACACAAUGUCCAAUUAGACCAGGAGGGAGUUACACAUACCGGUUCAUAAUUUCAUGACAAGAAGGAACUUAUAGCUCGUGGCUUUGAGCUACUGUUUAUGGUGCAGAAAUAGUGUCCGUUCGAUAAAACAGUGUCCAUUUACCGUAAUUAGUUAAUUCGCUGCUGCAAAUUCUUUUCACUCGCUGAUAUUACGAUCCGC